rnacentral:rRNA from 1 species
GCCAGAGGCGAUAGUACGACGGAUACACUAGUUCACUGAAGUUAAGUAACGCUGGGCGUGUUUAUUAGUAUCCGGGUGGGUGACCAUCUGGGCAGUUGCGUGCUGCUCGCU